ACUCCUUCGUGAGACCGGCCCCCUGUCCUGGCCCUCAUUCCGUGAAGAGAUCCACCUGCGACCUCGGGUCCUCAGACCAGCCCAAGGAACAUCUCACCAAUUUCAAAUCGGAUCUCCUCGGCUUAGUGGCUGAAGACUGAUGCUGCCCGAUCGCCUCAGAAGCCCCUUGGACCAUCACAGAUGCCGAGCUUCGGGUAACUCUUACGGUGGAGGAUUCCCAGCCAUAUGAAGACACCCUAGCUGGACGAUCAGUCCUUGUCAAAAGUCUGACCCCUCAAACUCUACAGCCUCAAUGGACCAGACCCUACCCGGUCAUUUAUAGCACACCAACUGCCGUCCAUCUGCAGGACCCUCUCCAUUGGGUUCACCAUUCCAGAAUAAAGCCAUGCCCAUCAGACAGCCAGCUUGAUCUCUCCUCUUCCUCCUGGAAGCCACAAGAUUAGGCCGAGAGCCGAUCAGACAAACAACCUACAACCCUUAAGCUCCUGGCAGCGCCCAGCCAAGGCCAUGCUUCCUUGCAACACUCCUUCCAAAUGGCCAUCCCAGCAUGCUUCCAAGCAGGCUUCAUCCGUUCCUCUGGACCCUCAUCUCUUAAGACCUGCCGCCUAUAAAAAGGAUUAUAUCUUGAGACCCUAUCCUCUAAAAUUUUUUCCACACCCAAAACAAAAAAUCUCUGGGUCAAAAGUCUAAAACGCUUAGGCUGGCAACCAUCAGAUCCUUGCCCAUGGUGUCCUCAAGCCUACUCUCAUGAAAUGGACAACAGUACACGCAUAUGGGGCCAGUUCCACAUAUUUGGCAACCAGACCAGCAUCCAGGACAACACAAAGAUCUGCAAUCAGAACUAUUGAACUUCUCCAUUCAGACCGCCACUCACACCUAUGGGAAAAGGGUAAUGUAUCAUCGGCUUAGCAACAGGGAAUACUAUUCGUAUGAUGGAAAAUGGGGACAAAAGGCUUUGGUACAUAAAACAUUAUUCCUUCCUUGGCCUAAAAACUCAUCGCCACCUACAUUAAAGCUAAUAUGCCUGAUUACUGUUUUUAGAGAACUUAUUUUAUUAGGGCAGUUCCAAGCUCAAAAAUACGCUAACUGGCACCUUGUUAGCUACAUAAAAAUGCACCCUAGACCCGAAACUUACUAGACUCAUUAUAAAAUUUUCUUUAAGGUGUCCACGCAGUCCCUGGUCACACUUGAAGCAGUCCGGAGAAAUAUCAGCCCUACCCCAGUAAUCCCCAGAAGGAACUUACACUUUUUUUUAAUCUUUUCCUACAACUUCAUAUUUUAUAAAUAAAAAGACAAAAAUGUCAGGCCUGUGAGCUGAAGCUUAGCCAUUGUAACCCCUGUGACCUGCACAUAUCCGUCCAGGUGGCCUGCAGGAGC
rnacentral:lncRNA from 1 species